AGCAGCCGCGGUAAUUCCAGCUCCAAUAGCGUAUAUUAAAGUUGUUGCAGUUAAAAAGCUCGUAGUUGAAUUUCGAGAUCAAAUUGUUGGUCGUGCCUCGGUACGUACUGGCAUUAUUGAUUUCUCCCUUCUGAAGAACCACGAUGUCAUUAAUUUGGUGUCGUGGGAAAUCAGGACUGUUACUUUGAAAAAAUUAGAGUGUUUAAAGCAGGCUCACGCUUGAAUACAUUAGCAUGGAAUAAUGAAAUAGGACGUUCGAUCCUAUUUUGUUGGUUUUUAGGAUCAACGUAAUGAUUAAUAGGGAUAGUUGGGGGCAUUAGUAUUCAAUUGUCAGAGGUGAAAUUCUUGGAUUUAUUGAAGACUAACUACUGCGAAAGCAUUUGCCAAGGAUGUUUUCAUUAAUCAAGAACGAAAGUUAGGGGAUCGAAGACGAUCAGAUACCGUCGUAGU
rnacentral:rRNA from 1 species